CCUACGGGGGGCAGCAGUGAGGAAUAUUGGGCAAUGGCCGGAAGGCUGAACCAGCCAUGCCGCGUGAAGGUCAGUGCCCUAUGGGCGUUAAACUUCUUUUGUGCGGGAGCAAUAAUGGUCACGUGUGGCCAGACGAGAGUACCGUACGAAUAAGCAUCGGCUAACUCCGUGCCAGCAGCCGCGGUAAGACGGGGGAUGCAAGCGUUAUCCGGAUUUAUUGGGUUUGAAGGGUGCGUAGGCUGUGAGGUAAGUCAGCGGGGAAAUGCCCCCGCUUAACGGGGUGAAGUGCCAUUGAUACUGCCUUGCUGGAAUGCGGAUGCCGUGGGAGGAAUGUGUGGUGUAGCGGUGAAAUGCAUAGAUAUCACACAGAACACCGAUUGCGAAGGCAUCUCACGAAUCCGCGAUUGACGCUGAUGCACGAAAGCGUGGGUAUCAAACAGGAUUAGAUACCCUAGUAGUC
rnacentral:rRNA from 1 species